UCGAUGAGUAGGGCGGGACACGUGGUAUCCUGUCUGAAUAUGGGGGGACCAUCCUCCAAGGCUAAAUACUCCUGACUGACCGAUAGUGAACCAGUACCGUGAGGGAAAGGCGAAAAGAACCCCGGCGAGGGGAGUGAAAAAGAACCUGAAACCGUGUACGUACAAGCAGUGGGAGCACCCUUUGGGGUGUGACUGCGUACCUUUUGUAUAAUGGGUCAGCGACUUAUAUUCUGUAGCAAGGUUAACCGUAUAGGGGAGCCGGAGGGAAACCGAGUCUUAAUUGGGCGUUAAGUUGCAGGGUAUAGACCCGAAACCCGGUGAUCUAGCCAUGGGCAGGUUGAAGGUUGGGUAACACUAACUGGAGGACCGAACCGACUAAUGUUGAAAAAUUAGCGGAUGACCUGUGGCUGGGGGUGAAAGGCCAAUCAAACCGGGAGAUAGCUGGUUCUCCCCGAAAGCUAUUUAGGUAGCGCCUCGUGAAUUCAUCUCCGGGGGUAGAGCACUGUUUCGGCUAGGGGGCCAUCCCGGCUUACCAACCCGAUGCAAACUGCGAAUACCGGAGAAUGUUAUCACGGGAGACACACGGCGGGUGCUAACGUCCGUCGUGAAGAGGGAAACAACCCAGACCGCCAGCUAAGGUCCCAAAGUCAUGGUUAAGUGGGAAACGAUGUGGGAAGGCCCAGACAGCCAGGAUGUUGGCUUAGAAGCAGCCAUCAUUUAAAGAAAGCGUAAUAGCUCACUGGUCGAGUCGGCCUGCGCGGAAGAUGUAACGGGGCUAAACCAUGCACCGAAGCUGCGGCAGCGACGCUUAUGCGUUGUUGGGUAGGGGAGCGUUCUGUAAGCCUGUGAAGGUGUGUCGUGAGGCAUGCUGGAGGUAUCAGAAGUGCGAAUGCUGACAUAAGUAACGAUAAAGCGGGUGAAAAGCCCGCUCGCCGGAAGACCAAGGGUUCCUGUCCAACGUUAAUCGGGGCAGGGUGAGUCGACCCCUAAGGCGAGGCCGAAAGGCGUAGUCGAUGGGAAACGGGUUAAUAUUCCCGUACUUGGUGUUACUGCGAAGGGGGGACGGAGAAGGCUAUGUUGGCCGGGCGACGGUUGUCCCGGUUUAAGCGUGUAGGUGUGUGUUCCAGGUAAAUCCGGUUCACUUUAACACUGAGGCGUGACGACGAGGCACUACGGUGCUGAAGCAACAAAUGCCCUGCUUCCAGGAAAAGCCUCUAAGCAUCAGGUAACAUCAAAUCGUACCCCAAACCGACACAGGUGGUCAGGUAGAGAAUACCAAGGCGCUUGAGAGAACUCGGGUGAAGGAACUAGGCAAAAUGGUGCCGUAACUUCGGGAGAAGGCACGCUGACACGUAGGUGAAGUGAUUUACUCAUGGAGCUGAAGUCAGUCGAAGAUACCAGCUGGCUGCAACUGUUUAUUAAAAACACAGCACUGUGCAAACACGAAAGUGGACGUAUACGGUGUGACGCCUGCCCGGUGCCGGAAGGUUAAUUGAUGGGGUCAGCGCAAGCGAAGCUCCUGAUCGAAGCCCCGGUAAACGGCGGCCGUAACUAUAACGGUCCUAAGGUAGCGAAAUUCCUUGUCGGGUAAGUUCCGACCUGCACGAAUGGCGUAAUGAUGGCCAGGCUGUCUCCACCCGAGACUCAGUGAAAUUGAACUCGCUGUGAAGAUGCAGUGUACCCGCGGCAAGACGGAAAGACCCCGUGAACCUUUACUAUAGCUUGACACUGAACAUUGAGCCUUGAUGUGUAGGAUAGGUGGGAGGCUUUGAAGCGUGGACGCCAGUCUGCGUGGAGCCGACCUUGAAAUACCACCCUUUAAUGUUUGAUGUUCUAACGUGGACCCGUAAUCCGGGUUGCGGACAGUGUCUGGUGGGUAGUUUGACUGGGGCGGUCUCCUCCUAAAGAGUAACGGAGGAGCACGAAGGUUGGCUAAUCCUGGUCGGACAUCAGGAGGUUAGUGCAAUGGCAUAAGCCAGCUUGACUGCGAGCGUGACGGCGCGAGCAGGUGCGAAAGCAGGUCAUAGUGAUCCGGUGGUUCUGAAUGGAAGGGCCAUCGCUCAACGGAUAAAAGGUACUCCGGGGAUAACAGGCUGAUACCGCCCAAGAGUUCAUAUCGACGGCGGUGUUUGGCACCUCGAUGUCGGCUCAUCACAUCCUGGGGCUGAAGUAGGUCCCAAGGGUAUGGCUGUUCGCCAUUUAAAGUGGUACGCGAGCUGGGUUUAGAACGUCGUGAGACAGUUCGGUCCCUAUCUGCCGUGGGCGCUGGAGAACUGAGGGGGGCUGCUCCUAGUACGAGAGGACCGGAGUGGACGCAUCACUGGUGUUCGGGUUGUCAUGCCAAUGGCACUGCCCGGUAGCUAAAUGCGGAAGAGAUAAGUGCUGAAAGCAUCUAAGCACGAAACUUGCCCCGAGAUGAGUUCUCCCUGAGACUUAGAGUCUCCUGAAGGAACGUUGAAGACGACGACGUUGAUAGGCCGGGUGUGUAAGCGCAGCGAUGCGUUGAGCUAACCGGUACUAAUGAACCGUGAGG
rnacentral:rRNA from 1 species